rnacentral:rRNA from 1 species
CCUACGGGUGGCAGCAGUGAGGAAUAUUGGUCAAUGGGCGCGAGCCUGAACCAGCCAAGUAGCGUGAAGGAUGACUGCCCUACGGGUCGUAAACGUCUUUUAUAAAGGAAUAAAGUGAGGCACGGGUGCCCUUAUGUGUGUACCUUAUGAAUAAGGAUCGGCUAACUCCGUGCCAGCAGCCGCGGUAAUACGGAGGAUACGAGCGUUAUCCGGAUUUAUUGGGUUUAAAGGGAGCGUAGAUGGGUUGUUAAGUCAGUUGUCAAAGUUUGCGGCUCAACCGUCAAAUUGCAAUUGAUACUGGCAGUCUUGAGUACGGUUGAGGUAGGCGGAAUUCGUGGUGUAGCGGUGAAAUGCUUAGAUAUCGCGAAGAACUCCGAUUGCGAAGGCAGCUUACUAGACUGCCACUGACAUUGAUGCUCGAAAGUGUGGGUAUCAAACAGGAUUAGAUACCCGUGUAGUC